AAAAAUGGUGUAUAGUGUAAUUUUUUUUUAUUUGAAAAAGCAAAUUUCAAAACGAAUAGAAAAACCUCGAUUGUCGUUCCCUCCCUUUGAAACCCAUUUAAAACACAAAAACACUUCUUCUCCCCUCAUAACUGACCCUACAGUUUUCUCCAAUGACGGCCUCUGAGUCCUUGCUCUUCUGCAUGUUCUUGGCCCUAACAUUCGCCAUAACUCUAGAACAGCCAUCGCUUCCAGAGAACCCUGUAUCUGCACCAGAUGUUCAACAUUCCUCUCUUCUAGUCGAACUCGAGCUGCUCAAGUCCAAGAUUGCCUCGCUAGAAUUGAGCAUUGAUGAGAGAAACCAUCAGUUAAGCAAAAAAGAUAAAAGUAUUAAAGAAAUGCAGAAGAUAAUUCAGGAUAAAUCGGAUAACAUUUCGUUGUUACAAAUGGAGAUAAAGUUGCUUCAGGAAUCUUCAUAUGGGAAGGAAUAUAUGAGUAAGUCAGAUCAACAAGUAGACGAGCUUGAGAAGCAGGUUGAAAGACUCCAGACUGACAUAGAUAAGCAAAAUAAGAGAAAAUAUGGAUUGGGACUCCGAGCAUAUGUAGCAGAAAAGAAAAUACAACAGCUGAAUGCUAAGCUAGAAAAACUUUAUACAGUUAAUGAUGAACAAGAAACCAUAAUUCGCAAAACCGCACAUCUUCUUCAAGUGGCAGAGGAAGAACUGAUGAAGGUAGAAUUGGAGACUGCUUUACUAUCUACAGGUUUGAACUGGGUUCCAUUGGACUGGCUUCCACAUUGGGUUUCAGCUCAUUUUGACUGUUUCCAGGAUUGGGCGCCAAUUCUGAAGGAACAAUGGUUGGCAUUUGUAACCUUUGUCAUGCCACGUGUUCAACUACUGAUGGAAAAAUUUGUGGAUGUGUACCAUGUAGCAAAGAAUUAUAUUGCACCAUGUGCCAUCAAGGCUCUAAAAGAUCUUUAUUUUCACACUUGGGAAGUAAAGAAUCUUAUAGAGUCUUACUUGUAUCAUGCUGCCAUGGUAGCAAAAUCUCUUUUAAGCAAAACGUUCAUUACCUUGAAGCCAUAUACUAUAAAAGUGCUUUAUGAAUGUAAGACGUUCAUGACAUUUCUAGCUCAGUAUCAUCUUCAGGUAUCAUCUCUUGUCCUUAUUUAACUUUGUUGGCUAUUAUUAUGUGUAUUUACUCAGUGUUUCAUCAACGAAAAUUUAGUGAAUUGUUAAGCAAUUAAGAAAAAAUGUGAACAUAAGAUAUUUAUAACAUGGUUAAUCUAUUAACAAAGUCUAGUCCACGGGUUUUAUAGAAGCUAUUCAUUGUGAGUUCUAAUAUAAUUUCUUUAAAGUUUGUGUAUGUGAAAACAUAUGUGUUUUAAUCAUAUUGACAGCCCUAUUUGUAAUAAUGACGAACAACAUUUUUCCCAUGUUUUUAGGAAAAGUAAUUUUUUCUUAGGCUAAUUGAAUUUAAACAUUAUAUAUGAAAUAAUUUAAUAGAAAUACCUAUCAUUUUCUUAUAAUAUGGAGUACAUUUAGUUGCAAACAACAUCAAUAGAACUUCUAGAAGAAGAGUCGGCACCAUCUCGAGCUAAGUCCCAAGAAGGCCUUGCUCGUGCUUCUUAUAGUGUUUUAUUGGGCUUUAUUUAAGUGAUUUGAGUUUUCUUGUGCUUAUUGUGUUUUAUUGGGUCUUUUUAAAAAUUAAAUGUUAAUGGGCUAUUUUUUAGUUUAUGAAUGAAUUUGGGUUAGACAAAGCCCUAAAAUUCAGGUUUUUUAAUUGAGGCGUGUGCCUCACUGUUUGUACCGCCUCAGAUCAUAUCUAACUGUCUCACAUAGUUGAGGCGUACGCGUCUCUUCUCCCAGCUAAGGUGCACACAAUAAAGCGUUUUUCUUUCGCCUCAAUCUACUGCGCGCAAUGAGGCGCUCCUCGAAAACGCAAUUUUAAACAUUGAGUGUAACCAUCUCCUUUCUACACUUUUUGUAAACCUAUUAAAUCAGGCUCGAGGGGAUUGCUUGAGGAGGUAGAGAGAUUUUUUUAGUUUGCACACUUUUUCCUUUAAUAAUGGUUCCUCAAAUUUUGGAGGAAUGUCUAUGUAUACGUCUUCCACAAGGUCGUCGUUAAGAAAAACAUUCUUCACGUCAAGCUUGAAUAACGACCAUUCAUUGUUUACCGCAAUAGAUAAGAGUAUUCGGAUGUUGUUCAACUUAGCAAAAGGAGCAAAUGUCUCUUGGUGACUAAUGCCAUAUGAUUGGGUGAAUCCUUUAGCCACUAAUCGAGCUUUAAAUCUUUCAAUGCUCCCAUCAACCUUAUAUUUGACCAAGAAGAUCCAUUUACAACCAACUAUGCGCUUGCCAUUAGGUAGAUCUGUGAUAAUCCAUGUUUUAUUCUUUUUCGAGUGCUCCUGGUUCCUCCAUUGUGGCAGCAUUCCAAUUGGUAUCCUGUAGAGCUUCUUGAACUGAAUUGGAAAUUUGAACUUGGUCCAGAGCAGUGAUAAAAGCUCUAUAGGUAGGAGAUAAGCUUGAGUAACUCAAAUAGUUGUGAAUGGGAUGUUGAGUGCAGGGGAACCCCUUUCCUGAGAGCGAUGUGAAUGCUUAAAUCGUCAAACACAUCUUCUUCUACAAUAGGUUCAACUUGAGCAUCUUCUUAUGUUUGUUCAAGAAUGAAUGGAAUCAGAUUAUAUUCUUGACUUUGCUUGAGUAACUCAAAUAGCUGGGAAUGGGAUGUUGAGUGCAAGAGCGAACCCCUUUCCUGAGAGUAAUGGGAAUGCUUAGAUCGUCAGACACAUCUUCUUCUACAAUAGGUUCAACUUGAGCAUCUUCUUAUGUUAGUUCAAGAAUGAAGGGAAUCAGAUUAUAUUCUUGACUUUGCUUGAGUAACUCAAAUAGCUGGGAAUGGGAUGUUGAGUGCAAGAGCAAACCCUUUCCUAAGAGCAAUGGGAAUGCUUAGAUCGUCAAACAUAUUUUCUUCCACAAUAGGUUCAGCUUGAGCAUCUUCCUGUGUUUGUUCAAGAAUGAAUGGAAUCGGAUUAUAUUCUUGACUUUGUUGAGUUCGAGUGGAAGCUUGUUCAGUGUUUGCUAGAUUCUUAUUUUUCCUUGAGUCAACCCGGAUUUUUGUGUUUGGGAUGUCGACAAGAUUUGAAAAGAUUGGCUGAGGAGUUUUUGGCUCAUGUGAAUUGGCUGAAUGGUUGGGUUGGUCCUCGUUGAUGGGGACAAGACUUAAGGAUUUUGAUAAGGGUUUCUUGGCUUAUGUGAUUAGAUUGAAUGGUUUGGAGUAUGAGUAACAGACGGAUGAGGAGUUUUUGAAGUAAUGAUGUUGUCAGAAGAAGAAGAAUGAGGAUCAAUGAGUGAAACAGAAGAAUAAAUGACUCCCACGUGCCGAUGCGUUCGGGCGCGUUCGGGCUGCUUUUUGGAGAUUGUCAACAUUCGUCAUGUUCCCAGCCCUUUCCCAUCCUCCUUGCAUCGGUUUUCGACGGUUCUUCUCAUUUUGUGGUUUGAUAUUUUUACCUUCGUGUUUGGGUGUUCAUUCUUUGGUGUUUGCUUUUUUCCUUUUCUCUUUCAAUUGUUUUUGCUUUCAAGAUUAUGGUAGGGAUAAAAUCAGAUUUGAAAUCAGUGGUUGUUUCUGAUGUGGUUCUCGUGAUGUCUAAAAUUACGUACCAUAAAUUGAUUGGUUCGAAUUAUUUGGAAUGGAGUAAGACGAUUCGACUGUAUUUGGAGGGUAUUGACAAAGAUGAUCACUUGACUGACAAUUCUCCCAAAGAGAAAGUCGAUUCAUGGAAAAUAUGGCUUUGUGAGGAUGCUCGCUUGUUCUUUCUAAUUCAAAAUUCUAUAGAUAAUGAGGUAAUUAGUUUUAUUAAUCAUUGUGAAUUGGUUAAAGAAUUAAUGGAUUAGUAGGAGUUUUUGUAUUUUGGCGAAGCCUUUUAUUAUGCGGAGAAACAAGAUUAGUCUCUUAAUAGCGCCAAUGAGAGCAGAUGACUAUUAUAAGUUUUCUUGCAGGACUUUCAUUUGAAUUUGACUCUACAAAGUCAAGAGUUUUCUCUGGUGUUGAUGUCUCCUCUUUACAAGAUGUGUUUACUCGUGUUCUUCGUACAAAAACUACCUCUUCAGUUCCUUUUAAUAGCGCCUUGGUGUGUCGUAACAAUUCUGCACUAGGAAAAAACUCUACCCCAAGUGGAUACAAAAGAAGUAAUUCACAAGGACCUUAUACUUGAAUACCAAAUUUUGAGAAUGUGCAACUAUUGUAAGAAACCAAGCCGCAUCUAACAAAUCAACAAAAACAUUCUGCUAAUAUUGCAAGCACUAGUGAUGCAUCUAACAAAUGAGUCCUUAUUUCUCCUGAUGAAUUUGCCAAGUUCUCGAGGUAUUAGGAGUCAUUUAAUUGUUCAUCUCCUUCUGUCACUACGAUAGCUAAUUCAGGUAACCCUAAUACAUGCCUUCUUUCCACAUCCUCAAAGUGGGUCAUUGAUUCUAGUACUACAUAUCAUAUGACAGGUUCAAGAACUGCUAAAAGAUAAUGAGUUUAUGCGACCAGUUGCAAAUAUGGAGCUUGCUUGGUUUGUGGCUACUGCUUUGUUGGCUUUGCCUGCUCUUUUUUUGUUCAAAUUGUUUUCAGUUGUCUUCAGG